rnacentral:rRNA from 1 species
AGUGAACGCUGGCGGUAGGCCUAACACAUGCCAGUCGAACGGCAGCACAGUAAGAGCUUGCUCUUACGGGUGGCGAGUGGCGGACGGGUGAGGAAUACAUCGGAAUCUACUUUUUCGUGGGGGAUAACGUAGGGAAACUUACGCUAAUACCGCAUACGACCUACGGGUGAAAGCAGGGGAUCUUCGGACCUUGCGCGAUUGAAUGAGCCGAUGUCGGAUUAGCUAGUUGGCGGGGUAAAGGCCCACCAAGGCGACGAUCCGUAGCUGGUCUGAGAGGAUGAUCAGCCACACUGGAACUGAGACACGGUCCAGACUCCUACGGGAGGGAGCAGUGGGGAAUGUUGGACAAUGGGCGCAAGCCUGAUCCAGCCAUACCGCGUGGGUGAAGAAGGCCUUCGGGUUGUAAAGCCCUUUUGUUGGGAAAGAAAAGCAGCAGGUUAAUACCCCGCUGUUCUGACGGUACCCAAAGAAUAAGCACCGGCUAACUUCGUG